GUGGGCCCUCGAAAUCCGUCGGCGGGGGAUUCAGUCGGGAGGUGCGGGCUCGUGCGCCGGUCGUUUCAUCGGACCCUUGACUGGGCCGGGCCGGCGUCGCAGUCUCCGCAUGAUCCGACGCACUUCCUCCCGCCCUAUGGACGCCGCAGCCGGUCGGGUAGCUGCGCGAGUCGGCCAUAAGGACGCACACCGGAAGGUGGCCACUGGCGUUCCCUCGGGUUCGCCGCUGGUCGUUUAUCCAGUGCGCCCGUGGCGCGACACCCGACCGAGGUCUAAAGGUCCCGGUUAGGACCUUGCCGUCCCCUCCCGCGUGGUUGAGCGGGCGCUCAGGCAGGCGAUUGCCCUUGCGGCCGUCCCACUCUCCGAGUGGUCGGCCCUCGGGUGGCGCUGCUGGUCGAGAUGCGUCCCGCGCGGGGAUUGUGAAGGCUUGCGGCGAGUAGGUCGGUCACCCACCCGACCCGUCUUGAAACACGGACCAAGGAGUCUAACAUGUGCGCGAGUCAAGGGGUCUUGUUUAGGCCCAGAGGCGCAAUGAAAGUGAAGGCCGGCCUCGACGCCGGUCGUGUUGGGACUCCCCUCUAUUAAGGAGGGGAAGCACCAACGACCCGCCCCAUCCGAUUCAUCGGUAGGGCGGAGUGUGAGCGUACACGUUGGGACCCGAAAGAUGGUGAACUAUGCCUGGGCAGGACGAAGCCAGAGGAAACUCUGGUGGAGGUCCGUAGCGGUUCUGACGUGCAAAUCGAUCGUCAGACCUGGGUAUAGG
rnacentral:rRNA from 1 species